GACGAACGCUGGCGGCGUGCUUAACACAUGCAAGUCGAACGGAAAGGCCCUGCUUUUGUGGGGUGCUCGAGUGGCGAACGGGUGAGUAACACGUGAGUAACCUGCCCUUGACUUUGGGAUAACUUCAGGAAACUGGGGCUAAUACCGGAUAUGAGCUCCUGCUGCAUGGUGGGGGUUGGAAAGUUUCGGCGGUUGGGGAUGGACUCGCGGCUUAUCAGCUUGUUGGUGGGGUAGUGGCUUACCAAGGCUUUGACGGGUAGCCGGCCUGAGAGGGUGACCGGCCACAUUGGGCCUGAGAUACGGCCCAGACUCCUACGGGAGGCAGCAGUGGGGAAUAGUGCACAAUGGGCGGAAGCCUGAUGCAGCAACGCCGCGUGCGGGAUGACGGCCUUCGGGUUGUAAACCGCUUUCGCCUGUGACGAAGCGUGAGUGACGGUAAUGGGUAAAGAAGCACCGGCUAACUACGUG
rnacentral:rRNA from 1 species